rnacentral:rRNA from 1 species
GGGCCCGCACAAGCGGUGGAGUAUGUGGUUUAAUUCGAUGCAACGCGAAGAACCUUACCAGGGUUUGACAUCCUGCGAAUCUCUUGGAAACUUGAGAGUGCCUUCGGGAGCGCAGUGACAGGUGGUGCAUGGCUGUCGUCAGCUCGUGUCGUGAGAUGUUGGGUUAAGUCCCGCAACGAGCGCAACCCACGUCUUUAGUUGCCAGCAUUUAGUUGGGCACUCUAGAGAGACCGCCGGUGAUAAACCGGAGGAAGGUGUGGAUGACGUCAAGUCCUCAUGGCCCUUACAGGCUGGGCUACACACGUGCUACAAUGGUAGAGACAGAGGGCAGCCACCUGGUGACAGGGAGCGAA